rnacentral:rRNA from 1 species
UACAGAGGUCUCAAGCGUUGUUCGGAUUCAUUGGGCGUAAAGGGUGCGUAGGCGGUUCGGUAAGUCGGGUGUGAAAUCUCCACGCUCAACGUGGAGGGGCCACUCGAUACUGCCGUGACUCGAGUCCGGUAGAGGAGUGUGGAAUUCCCGGUGUAGCGGUGAAAUGCGCAGAUAUCGGGAGGAACACCAGUAGCGAAGGCGGCACUCUGGGCCGGUACUGACGCUGAGGAGCGAAAGCGUGGGGAGCAAACAGG